rnacentral:rRNA from 1 species
UCAUCGAGUCUUUGAACGCACAUUGCGCCUUUUGGUAUUCCGAGAGGCACGUCUGUUUGAGCGUCAGCAAAACCCUCCGGCCCCCCGGUUUGUUCCGCGGGGCACGGGCCAGCUGGCGCGGGGACUGGCCGCCGCGCUCCGGUGCAGGCAGGCCUUCCCCCGCUUAAAGGUGUGGAAGUUAGCGGGGUGCGCCCCGGAUCGCGACGACUCGUAAGCACUUACCGUCGGAAGCGUCCGGGACUGCCCCCGCCUCAAAACACGAGUGGCCCUCGCGGCCCUCCGAACCCUUGACCUCAGAUCAGACGAGGAUACCCGCUGAACUUAAGCAUAUCAAUAAGCGGAGGAAAAGAAACCAACAGGGAUUGCCUCAGUAGCGGCGAGUGAAGCGGCAAGAGCUCAGAUUUGAAAUCCGGUGCGGUUCCCGUGCCCGAGUUGUAAUCUGGAGAGGAUGUUCCGGCGAGUCCGGCCGCCCAAGUUCCUUGGAACAGGACGUCUCAGAGGGUGAGAACCCCGUACCUGGCGGCCCGGGUUAGCCAUGUGGAACUCCUUCGACGAGUCGAGUUGUUUGGGAAUGCAGCUCAAACUGGGUGGUAAAUUCCAUCUAAAGCUAAAUAUUGGCGGGAGACCGAUAGCGCACAAGUAGAGUGAUCGAAAGAUGAAAAGCACUUUGAAAAGAGAGUUAAAAAGUACGUGAAAUUGUUGAAAGGGAAGCGCUUGCCAUCAGAACGGGCGUCGGCCGAUCAGCGUUCCUUCUGGUUCGUGCACUCGGCCGGCCGCCUUGCCAGCAUCGGUCGCCGCGGCGGGACAAAGACGGCGGGAACGUGGCUCCCCCCGGGGAGUGUUACAGCCCGCCGUGCAAUG